GCCGGGGGAGCCCGGGGAACUCCCGAGGAGCCCGAGGGGCCCGGAGAAGCCCCGGGAAGUCCCGAGGAGCCCGGUGCAGGCGUAGGGGCUGCGCCGUCUGCCGGCCCGUGCCGCCGUGCCCGGCCCAUCCUUCCGCAGCCGCGGGGAGCGGGGCUUUGCCGGCGCGGAAAUGACAACCAGCGCGGUCAGGACUCGGUGCCACACGAUGUGUACUUGUAAAGUGGCGGCUGUGCGGGGACCCUGACCCUGCUGCAGCGCCUCAACGACAAAAACACUGCGGAUGGAACACUCGGUGAGCUUGGCAGGCUCUGUGGCCGCCUGCAUAUCGUGGAGCUUGCUGCUUAACAACAGAAAUAAAGCACUUGUCAGGCAGCAGCAGUGCGUCAGUGCAAAAUUGAAUUCGCAAGACUAAAGUUUACACGAGGCAACAACAAAAUCUACUGUGCCAUUCUGUGAGGCAACAAAGGGAAACACCUU
rnacentral:lncRNA from 1 species